rnacentral:rRNA from 1 species
AUUGAACGCUGGCGGAAUGCUUUACACAUGCAAGUCGAACGGCAGCACGGACUUCGGUCUGGUGGCGAGUGGCGAACGGGUGAGUAAUGUAUCGGAACGUGCCCAGGCGUGGGGGAUAACGUAGUGAAAAUUACGCUAAUACCGCAUACGAUCUAUGAAUGAAAGCGGGGGAUCGCAAGACCUCGCGCGAUUGGAGCGGCCGAUAUCAGAUUAGGUAGUUGGUGGGGUAAAGGCCCACCAAGCCAACGAUCUGUAGCUGGUCUGAGGGGACGACCAGCCACACUGGAACUGAGACACGGUCCAGACUCCUACGGGAGGCAGCAGUGGGGAAUUUUGGACAAUGGGCGAAAGCCUGAUCCAGCCAUUCCGCGUGCAGGAUGAAGGCCCUCGGGUUGUAAACUGCUUUUGUACAGAACGAAAAGGUUUCUACUAAUACUAGGAGCUCAUGACGGUACUGUAAGAAUAAGCACCGGCUAACUACGUGCCAGCCGCCGCGGUAA